GCGUCUGUAGCUCAAUUGGAUAGAGCACCAGGCUUCGAAUCUGGGGGUUGGAAGUUCGAGUCUUUCCAGGCGUA
rnacentral:tRNA from 1 species